UACGGAGGGGGUUAGCGUUGUUCGGAAUUACUGGGCGUAAAGCGCGCGUAGGCGGGCUAGUAAGUUAGAGGUGAAAUCCCAGGGCUCAACCCUGGAACUGCCUUUAAUACUGCUAGUCUUGAGUUCGAGAGAGGUGAGUGGAAUUCCGAGUGUAGAGGUGAAAUUCGUAGAUAUUCGGAGGAACACCAGUGGCGAAGGCGGCUCACUGGCUCGAUACUGACGCUGAGGUACGAAAGUGUGGGGAGCAAACAGGAUUAGAUACCCUGGUAGUCCACACCGUAAACGAUGAAUGCCAGUCGUCGGGUAGCAUGCUAUUCGGUGACACACCUAACGGAUUAAGCAUUCCGCCUGGGGAGUACGGUCGCAAGAUUAAAACUCAAAGGAAUUGACGGGGGCCCGCACAAGCGGUGGAACAUGUGGUUUAAUUCGACGCAACGCGAAGAACCUUACCUGGGUUUGACAUCCCCGGCCGACACCAGAGAUGGUGUUUUCUCUUCGGAGACCGGGUGACAGGUGCUGCAUGGCU
rnacentral:rRNA from 1 species